UGGCGAACGGGUGAGUAACACGUGGGUGAUCUGCCUUGCACUCUUGGAUAAGCUUGGGAAACUGGGUCUAAUACCUGAUAGGAACCGUCUUUAGUGUGGUGGUUGGAAAGUUUUUUCGGUGCAAGAUGAGCUCGCGGCCUAUCAGCUUGUUGGUGGGGUAAUGGCCUACCUAGGCGUCGACGGGUAGCCGGCCUGAGAGGGUGUACGGCCACAUUGGGACUGAGAUACGGCCCAG
rnacentral:rRNA from 1 species